GUUUAUUUACGUGCAGUGGUGGACCUAACUACCUCAUUACUUUCUGCCCAUGAUGAGCAUACAUAUAUAUAUGAACUAUAGAAAGGACAAGGUCUUUAAUAAAGAUAGGACUCUCAUGCAAUGUGUCGAUAAUUAGUCCGGCUCUAUAUUAAACGUUUGAUCUUUAAUAAAGGUUAGACUCUCGACAUGUAAUUGGUAACGUAUCGAUUAUUAUAGUCUGGCUAUGUAUCAAGCACUUGAUCUUCAAUGAAGAUAGAAUUGUCUACAUGUAAUUGAUAAUGUGUCGAUAUUAUUAUCGUCAAUAAUAAACAUUUUGAUAUGUUAACAAUAUACUUUUGCCAAACUUCAAUAAAAUAUAUAUGCGAAUAUUGAUAGUCCGGUAUUUAAUUAAAGAUAGAAUUAAUGUCAUGCACAAAGAAUUUUUGGAAAAUAUAUUGCACACAAAAUUUGUGUGAAAUAUAUAUUACCCCUCUUUCAUUAUGUUACAAUAACAGAAAAUUAUGAAUGAUUUUAUGUGAACAAAUGGUGUCCAGAUGAUGCAAUUAGGUUCAGUAGCAAAUGGUAAGUACAAUAACAUGUCAAAAUGGAUAAAAGCAUCAACUUCAAAUAAAUCUACAUUUUAAAUCGCAUGUCAUGUCAUGUAAUCUUCAAAUGUGAUUCAAAAAUUUGAUCUCCGUAAACUUAUUGAGAAUAAAUUGCAAUUAAUGUUGGAAAAAUUACCUCACCUAAGGACACUAGGCUUGGGAAAGCGACUGGUCGCCAAACUUCAAGCGACCGGUCGCAGAUGAAUCUGCCUAAAAACGACCCGUCACCAGGCAUCAAGUGACCGAUCACUGGAGACUCUGCCAAAAUGCGACCAGUCGAACUGUCUAGGAGACCGGUCGCUUCAGUCGUGUUGUUUUCGUUUUCCACGUGUUUUGAAGUCCUCUUUUCAUGUGCUAUUGCUUUCCACUUCAUUGCAAGGACUUUUUGGGUCACUUCAGAGUUAAAUGAAGGUUGGCAAGCUGCUGGAAAGCUGAGAUAGCAUUUUUGGUAUGUUGUUGACGUGUUUCAAUGAGUACCUACUCUUUGGCUCUAGAAAGGGUGGCUGAUGUGAAGGCAUAGGAUGGCUGGUGUGCAGGCAUUAAUGAUUUGCCUAAGCUAUGGUUUAUGAUGGGUGACUAAAGCCAUAAAUUGUUAAUGUAUAUAUUUUAAGUUUUUCUUUUGGCUUCCUUGACAACUUUGUAAUAAGAUUUCUAUUUUUAUUUAUCAAGCUCAAGUUUAGAUUGAGAAUACCUUCUCUAGGUAUUCUUAACUAACAACAAUCCUAUGGAGGUUCAAGCAAAUUGACAAAGGUAAAUUGUGCAUUGCAUAACAUUGCAUUAAACUGUUUUCAUAAAAUGAUGACUAGUCAUCUGUUUCUUGUAUGACUAGUCAUCCUUGCUCUGUAGGAUUUCCAGUUGGAUAACCAACUUUUUUGUCCUAUUCUCUUUUCUCUCUCUACUGCCAUGUGUGAUUCUGACCUAAGGGAAUUUUUGUCUGUAAAGGCUAAGGAAUUCCUCUUUGGGCAAUCGUCUCUUUUGGGUGGAAGUUUUGAAAAGUUUAGCUUGCCAUCUUUCGCUUCUACUUCCUCAAGAGAGAACCAUCUUAUUUUCAUCUAUGAGUUUUUUCAAAUUGAUUUCUUUUUGAAAAACUGCAUUUGAAAUACUAAUCUGCAUCUAGCUACUUAAAACACUCUCUCAUUUAUAUCCAGGUCAGAUUCAAGAUUGAUUUCUUCAAGAGUAUGGUUUCUUGAAGAAAUUGGUCAUUCUUAUUUGAAUCCAAAUUUUUGUUUCUGUUUGAGUUAGAGCUUGCAAGCUAGUGCCAUGGGAUGAACGAGCUGGAGAAGGAGCUGUUAUUGCCAUGAAGAACUGAGCUUCAAGCUUUGCUAAGUUGGAGAAGAAGAUUGCACAAAGGAGGUAUAGCUCAUCUUCCUAAAUAGAUCUAGUUUUUCCUUAAGCUUGCUUGUGUUCCUUUGUAAGAAUAUUUUUUUACUUAGUGGAUUGCCUGGUCGGUUGAUGACCCCCAGUUUUUUCAAAUUGUGGGUUUCUGGGUGAACAAUUUCUGUUUGCAUCUCUGUAAUUUUUCUGAGUUUGUGUUCUUGGUGGUUGACCAGUCAUCGUAUGAAUUAUGGUUGACUAGUCAUCAUAUGAAUUAUGAGUUUGUGUUCUUAGUGGUUGACUAGUAAUCGUAUGAAUUCUGGGUUUGUAUCCUUGUAGUUGACUAGUCAUCAUUAUCUGCUGUUUGGAGUUUGCUUGAUUAUGUUGUCUUCACACACUUUCACCAUAGUUGUUGCUAGCACAAGGGAUGCCUAGAUUGACGGAUCCUUCUGAGUGCCUAGAUUGUCACUAGUAAUUCUCUAGGCUUGCAGGUACAUCUUGGUAUGCUCUGUGUAUGUUAUUAUUUGGUUUAAUUCAUAUCUGACAGUUGACUAGUCAUAAGAGUAUUUGGUCAAGGUCUAGAGUGUGUGAAGUUCGUUGCGUUCUUGGUUGAAUAUCUUUUAAGUUUACCCAUCGUCACCUAAGUACCAAUUGGUAUCAGAGCACUAGCUCUUAACAUAAAUAGAGAGAUCCUUUGGGUGCUAAUUGGUAUUAGGUGUGCAAACAUAAAAAUGGAUCAAAUUGCUCCUUGCAUUCAUGAUGAGCUUGCCUUGUUUGUUAAGAAUUAUAGAAGGGUUGUCAAAGAUAAAACCAAAGUAAUUAGGAAUUGUCAGAAUCUUCCUAGUUCGUCUACAUGUGUGUCUCAAGACAAUGUUUUUAAGGAGAUGAAUUUUUUGGAAUCUUAUAGCUUUAGGGAGAACAAAAGUUUAAAGGGUCUUGUAAAGUGCUAUCUAUGUGGUGGUGUUGGUCACAUUAAUGUGGAAUGUGCAAAUAACCACAUGACAGAGUCUAAUGGGAGAGAAGAGUCAAUUAGUGCACAAUGGAGUGAUAAUGAUAGUGAUGAUUCCAAUAACUAUAUCACUUCAUCUUAUGAAGAGGCAAAUAAUUUUGCCUUUAUUGGUUCUGUUCAUAACUCUAGCCUUGCUAGCGUUCAUGUAGUUAAGGAAGGAAAAUCUGAUUCAGGAAAUGAAUCUGUGUCUGGAGAUGAUAGGCAGGAUGACCAGUCGUACAGGGAACAUGAUGACCAGUCAUACAAGGAACAUGAUGACCAAUCAUACUUGGGUAUGUGUGAAAAGUAUGAUGUCCUUUUUACUGAAACUUCCAAGCUUAAGGAAAGAAAUCUCUUACGUGAAGGGAAGGUAAAGAACCUGAAAAUUCUUAAUUACACUUUUAAAGAAGCAAAUAAUGAAUUGAGUGAAAAUGUUGAGACCUUGGAGAGUGAAAGGGAUUCAUUGAUUGUCAUUAAAAAUGACAUUUCAAACCAAGUGAAUGUGCUCAAGGAAAACAACCUGAUUUUCCAAGCCUUCAACAAGAACUUGUUGACUCAGAUAAAUGAGGCAAAUGACGCGAUGAUCAAGCUUACCAUAGGGGCUAAAAAAGUGGAUAAAAUGUUGAAUAUGGGUAAGGUUCAUGGAGACAAAACUGGUUUUGGUUAUGGUUAUUCUAGUUUAUGUGUUCCUCCUCCUUUGACCACAUUUGUCAAGGAGUCAAAUACAAAGUUUGAUGUUUUAGAGCCAACUAGGACUCAAAGAUUCAUUCCUACUUGUCACCAUUGUGGUGUGAAAGGUCACAUUCGACCUAGGUGUAAUGCUCUAAAGAAUGUGUCUAGAGCAACCAAUGCAAAUGGCUUUAAGAACCAUAUUUCAUCUCUUAAAACAUGUGAGCUUGCAAAAUCUGUUCUUUGUAAAAGGGAUAAACAUUCUUCACUUUUCCCAAAACCAAAAAGGUUCAUUCCUACUUGCCAUCAUUGUGGCACAUUAGGACACAUAAGACCAAAGUGGUUUGAACUUAGGAAUUUUGAGAAAAAGUCUUUUGUUCAUUUCAAGAAAGUAAAUGAUGACUCACUUCAAACUCAAGUGAAUGAUCUUCUUUAUAAAGUUGUCAAAAUUCCUAAGGUGAUCUCUUUGCCUCAUAAAGUCUCAAAAGUGAAGCAAGUUUGGAUCAAGAAGGAAGACCAUGCUCUUCCUCAUGUUGGUGACUAGUUUAUUUAUUUUAUGUAUCUAGACCAUUCUCUUGUUUGUGUGUGCUUCAUGGAGUCUAGAUACAUUGUCAUGCAUUUGAACCUUGUUCUUUUGUUUUAUUAGGAUUCAUUUGUUUUAUUAUUUUUAAAUGUGGUCAUUGCAUGCAUGUCUUUCAAUCAUCUCUCUCACAGUGCUUUGAAUCUGGGGUGAUCAACAAAAUUUCAUGUUCUUUUGAACUUGUUCACAUUUAUCUUGUUGGUCUUGUCCAAACAUUUUCCCUUGGUGGCAAAGAAUACAUCCUAUCCAUUGUAGAUGACUUCUUUGGGUUUAUUUAGGUCUCACUCUUGCUUGAAAAAUCAGAAACCUUUCAAAGGUUUAAAUCUAUCUACCAUCUUUUAUAAAAAGUUAAGAUGACUAGUCAUCUGCCUCUUGUUAGAAUUAGAACAGAUCAUGGUUCUGAGUUUGAGAAUUCUCAACUUCUGAAAUUUUGCGAGUUGAUGAGAAUUAAGCAUGAGUUCUCUGCACCUAUUACACCUCAGCAAAAUGGUGUUGUGGAAUGAAAAAAAAAAAUAGAGUUCUUGUUGAGAUGGGUAGGGUGAUGCUCAAUGGCAAAAAUUUUGCUAAACAUUUUUUGGGCUUACAUCUCAAACAUGGUGUUUUUGAGGUAUGGUGCCAAACAAACUCCCUAUGUGCUUUGGAAAGGUAAGAAACCGAAUGUGUCUUAUUUUAGAGUCUUUGGUAGCACAUGUUUUAUCUUAAGAGAUUGGGAACACCUUGCUAAGUUUGACUCUAAAAGUGACAAAGGAAUUUUUCUUGGGAAUUCCACUUUAAGCCGAGCCUAUAGAGUAUACAAUUAUAGGACCGGAACCAUCAUGUCAAUAUUGAUGACUUUGCUGCCUCUUCUGAGAUGGCAUUAGAUGAGGAUGGUCUUUUAUUUUCUAUGCUUGAGGAAGAAUCUCCAUGUCUGGAUCUAGUGGUUGACCUGUCAAUCUUUAGCAAAUCAGUUGACCAGUCAACUCUUGACAAUUAUGUUCCAGUUGACCUGUCAACUUGUCAUAAUCAACCUCAGAAUCUCAGCUCAUCUGUCCCUGUUGAAAACUCUCUAUAGAAGCAAGAUAAGAAGCCUUCUCUACUUGACUGCAAGUAGACCUGACAUUUCCUAUAGUGUAGGAGUUUUGUGCUAGGUUCCAAAGUGAUCCCAAAGAGUCUCAUUUGUUUGCUGUCAAAAGAAUCAUAAAAUAUGUGAGUAGAACUUUUGAGUUUGGGUUGUGGUAUACUUAUGACACUUGUGUCAAUCUUGUUGAGUAUAGUGAUGCCGAUUGGGCAGGUUGUAGUAAUGGUAGGAAAAGCACUUCCGGGAGGGUCUUUUAUGUAGGCAACAACCUUGUUGCUUGGCAUAGCAAAAAAUAGAAAUCUAUCUCUUUAUUCAUUGCUGAAGCAGAGUAUGUUAUAGCUGGGAGUUGCUGCACUCAACUCUUUUGGAUGAGACAAAUGUUGGAAGACUAUGGUCUUGCUCAAUCAUGCUUUCUAAUCUAUUGUGACAACAUGAGUGCUAUAGAUAUUUCUAAAAAUCUUGUUCAACACUCUAGGACUAAGCAUAUAGACAUUAGACACCAUUUUAUUAGAGAUCUUGUGGAAGACAAAAUUCUAUCUUUGGAAUUUGUUCCCUCUGAGAAACAGCUAGCAGAUAUACUCACCAAGGCCUUGGACUUUCAGAAACAUGUCAUACUUAGGUAGUCCAUUGGCCUUUGCUCAAUUGAUUGAUUAGCUUGUCUGUUCCUUAUCUUCAGCAUAUUGCAGAACUGUUGACUAGUCAUCUUCGUUUUAGUUGACUAGUCAAAUAUAAAUUUUUGUUUACUUGGUGUGUAAAUGUUCAAAACAUCUAUUUCUUCUGAUCUCUGAUGGUGCAAAGUUUGAAUCAUUUUAUGCUUUGCCUGAUUUGUGCAUAAUUCCCCCCUUCUAGUUUGGAGUCAUUAGAUGAAAUUUUUUGGUGUUGUUACGUCCUCUUAGUGAGACAAGUGUUGUGAUCCAUUGUGGACAAUCAUUGUUAUAAUCUCCUAUCUUAUCUCACUCUCUCAAGCAAGUGUGACCAAUGUAGUCACGACUCUAGGAAGGUAUAAGGUGAUUGAAGAAUCUAGAGCAAGAGCCACAAAAUUGGGCCACUCAAGCACUUAAGUCUGGGAUGUGCAAAUAACAAACAUAAUAAAUGGCCAGAUUGAGUGAUGAAAAUCAAAUUGGUUGAGUCUAUGCUUUGAGUUUGUCUUGAAGGUUCAUUAUAUACUUGUCUCUCCAAGAGUGAUAUUUCUUCAUCUCUUGUGUUUUUCUUUUGGCUCUGAACCUCCUCUGUCCAUCUUGCCGUAUCUCUGAGCAUGAAAUCUAAUUCAUAUUCUAUCUAUCAGAGUUAGUUGCAAUUGUUAUGUUUGCACAUGUGGUUAUCUUCUCUCUCUCUUACUUACUGUGCUUGAAGAUUUGGACUAGGCUAUAGUAGCUAAUAUAUCAUUGAUCACUUGAUAUAUUUUCUAGUUCAUGUUUGUGUUUUUAAAGCCAAAAUCAUGUCUUCUUCAAGGUCGAUGCUAAAAUUGCUGCUUGUUAUGAUAUUGCUUGAGUUCACUAGUCAACAUAUGCUCAUGCUGAUUGUGGUUGACUAGUCGUCUGCUUAAUAGGGAUCUUGUGCCUUUUGAUGAAAUUAAUUUUCACUCUCUAAGAACCAAGACCAUUGGUUAUGACACAAAGCACAAAGGCUCACUUGUCUUCUCCUUGUCUCAUUUACACCUUCUGUUUCAAUAUUGGUACUGUGUUUAUGUGUGGUCGUGUUUGGAUGAUGCCACUUUGGUCUAUGACCCUAUCUUAAUAAGUUGUGUUACCACAUUCAAUGAUUUAGCCUAACAUAAUUCUUGAAAUCCUUACGAGUCUGUUGUGCUAUAUAAGUUUAGGAUUGUUGGCUAAUUUAUUUUGUUGGGGAGUUUCUUUGAGAUGCAUAUGUUUUGGCAACAUUCUUGCUGGUUGUUUUUAUCAUUUUCAUACAUCAAUGUUGCCUUCCUAAGCCUUAUCUCGAUUGAUUUGCUCUCUUUUGUUCUUGGCUGUGUCUAUGAGGUUGUUGGUCUUUUGAUGCCACCUCAAAUUUAGACAUGCGUGACUAGUACAUUUCAUAGUCCACUCUCUUCUCCUUGUGCUUUUUGGAAGCUAUGUUGUGUUUUUUGGACAACCUAGAGACUUAUUUCUUGUAUUCUUUCUCACAUGUCCUCAAUUUUGAGGAAAAAAUUAGGGUUCAUCUUGCAUGGUGCUUUCUUCAAAUUUGACAUUGAUUGACGCCUUAAAUUUUAAAAUCUUGGUGCUUUGUCUUGAUUUUGCACUAUGGUGUGUGAAGAAAAAUUCAUUGGUUGUCCCUUGUUUUGAUAAAUAUGUUGCUUAAACUCUGUCUUUUUAGGGGAGUUUCUUUAUGUGUAAUGUGUACACAUUGAAAUUAAAUUCAGCCACUUGAUUUUAAUUGCUUUAGGUAUGAUUCCUUGCAACUUGUGCUCCAUUUCUUAUUCUUUUUAGCCUGAUGCAAUUUUGUGUUUGUUGGCUAUUUGCUGAAUUAGUACGUCAAAGGUUAAUUCCUUUAUGCUAUAUGAUACUGAGGGGGAGUAUGUUUUCUAAAGGGGCGUUUUGCUUUAGGGGGAGUUUCUAUUUGUGUAGUGGUUUUAAUGUUGUACCCUCUAUAGGUUGAUAGGGGGAGUUGUCUUGUUGUGUUUUUGAACAAAUGUUGUUUUACUUUGUAAUCAAAUAUGUCAUGUGCAUAUUGUUAAAAUCUGAUUAUGUGACUUAUGUUUAAUUCACUUGAUUACUGUUUCUCUAUAUUUGCCUUUUUGCUCUUUCCUUAUCAACAUGGGGGAGAACACUCUCAACCCUAUAUUGCAUAUAUUGCAUAUUGCUUCAACUUUAUGUGAUAUAAUAUGCUUGUCUUGUGCUUGGGAGUUUGGUUGUUGUUUUGCAGGUACUUCAUGUCAUCAUCUCCUUAGGUUUGGUUCAAGAAAAUUGACAAAGGUAAAUUGUGCAUUGCAUAACAUUGCAUUAAACUGUUUUCAUAAAAUGAUGACUAGUCAUCUGUUUCUUGUAUGACUAGUCAUCCUUAUUCUGUAGGAUUUCCAACUGGAUAACCAACUUUUUUGUCCUAUUCUCUUUUCUCUCUCUACUGCCAUGUGUGAUUCUGACCUAAGGGAAUUUUUGUCUAUAAAGGCUAAGGAAUUCCUCUUUGGGCAGUUGUCUCUUUUGGGUGGAAGUUUUGGAAAGUUUGGCUUGCCAUCUUUCGCUUCUUCUUCCUCAAGAGAGAACCAUCUUAUUUUCAUCUUUGAGUUUUUCCAAAUUGAUUUCUUUUUGAAAAACUGCAUUUGAUAUACUAAUAUGCAUCUAGCUACUUAAGACACUGUCUCAUUUAUAUCUAGGUCAGAUUCAAGAUUGAUUUCUUCAAGAUUGAUUUCUUCAAGAGUAUGGUUUCUUGAAGAAAUUGGUCAUUCUCAUUUGAAUCCAAAUUUUGGUUUCUGUUUGAGUUAGAGCUUGCAAGCUAGUGCCAUGGGAUAAACGAGCUGGAGAAGGAGCUACCACUACCAUGAAGAACUGAGCUUCAAGCUUUGCUAAGUUGGAGAAGAAGAUUGCACAAAUGAGGUAUAGCUCAUCUUCCUAAAUAGAUCUAGGUUUUUCUUGAGCUUGCUUGUGCUCUUUUGUAAAAAUCUUUUUCUACUUAGUGGAUUGCCUGGUCGGUUGAUGACCCCCAGUUUUUCCCAAUGGUGGGUUUCUGGGUGAACAAUUUCUAUUUGCAUCUCUAUAAAUUCUGGGUUUGUAUUCUUGGUGGUUGACUAGUCAUCGUAUGAAUUCCGGGUUUGUGUUCUUGGUGGUUGACUAGUCAUCGUAUGAAUUGUGGUUGACUACUCAUCAUAUGAAUUCUGGGUUUGUGUUCUUAGUGGUUGACUAGUCAUCGUAUGAAUUCUGGGUCUGUAUCCUUGUAGUUGACUAGUCAUCAUUAUCUGCUGUUUGGUGUUUGCUUGAUUAUGUUGUCUUCACACACUUUCACCAUAGUUGUAGCUAGCACAGGGGAUGCCUAAAUUGACGGGUCCUUCUGAGUGUCUAGGUUGUCACUAGUAAUUCUCUAGGCUUGCAAGUACAUCUUGGUAUGCUCUGUGUAUGUUAUUAUUUGGUAUAAUUCAUAUCUGACAGUUGACUAGUCAUAAGAGUAUUUGGUCAAGGUCUAGAGUGUGUGAAGUUUGUUGCGUUCUUGGUUGAAUAUCUUUUAAGUUUACCCCUUGUCACCUAAGUACCAAUUUCAAUUGGUAUCAGAGCACCAGCUCUUAACAUAAAUAGAGAGAUCCUUUGGGUGCUAAUUGGUAUUAGGUGUGCAAACAUAAAAAUGGAUCAAAUUGCUCCUUGCAUUCAUGAUGAGCUUGCCUUGUUUGUUAAGAAUUAUAGAAGGGUUGUCGAAGAUAAAACCAAAGUCACUAGCAAUUCUCAUAAUCUUCCUAGUUCGUCAACAUAUGUGUCUCAAGACAAUGUUUUUAAGGAGAUGAAUUUUUUGGACUCUUAUGACUUUAGGGAGAACAAAAGUUUGAAAGGUCUUGUAAAGUGCUAUCUAUGUGGUGGUGUUGGUCACAUUGAUGUGGAAUGUACAAAUAACCAUAUGACAGAGUCUAAUGGGAGAGGAGUCAAUUAGUGCACAAUGGAGUGAUAAUGAUAGUGAUGAUUCCAAUAACUAUAUCACUUCAUCUUAUGAAGAGGCAAAUAAUUUUGCCCUUGUUGGUUCUGUUCAUAACUCUAGCCUUGCUAGAGUUCAUGUAGUUAUGGAAGGAAAAUCUGAUUCAGGAAAUGAAUCUGUGUCUGGAGAUGAUAGGCAGGAUGACCAGUCAUGCAGAGAACAUGAUGACCAGUCAUACAAGGAACAGGAUGACCAGUCAUACUUGGGUAUGUGUGAAAAGUAUGAUGUCCUUUUUACUGAAACUUCCAAGCUUAAGGAAAGAAAUCUCUUACUUGAAGUGAAGGUAAAGAACCUGGAAAUUCUUAAUUGCACUUUUAAAGAAGCAAAUAAUGAAUUGAGUGAAAAUCUGUCAUGAUGGUCAGUUUGCUUUUCCUGAUGAACAACUCCCUUGCUCCCUACUUAUCUCUUGAAAACGUGGCAUGCUUAUCUCUUGGAAAGGCAACCUUCUGUUUGGGCCUAAAUUGGCAUGCCCCGCCCAAAAUUGAAAAGCCCAUGUCAAAAUUUUGGCAGCCACCAAAGUUUAUCUUGAGUUUGGGCCAAUUCUCGGCACGCCCAGCUUGUUUUUUUAAAAGGGCUAGAAAACAUAAACAUUUGGGCUUUUUAUCUACAAAGGAUUAAAAGGAACCAACACAGCCUUUUUCACACCAUGUGAUCUCUACCCCAAAAAAAGACAAGUCAGUAGAUCUUUUCUCUAAGAACCCACGUGACUACCUGACUUUGAAAAGUCAAAAAUUUCAGCUAUCAUAGGAGAGUUGACAGGGAGUUAAUGAAGGCAAGUAUAAAAAGAAUACAUCUCUAAAUCUUUUUUCAACUAAUAUUUUCAGCCAAAAGAUCAAAAUCCCUUUAUAUAUAUAUAUAUACAGAAAAAUUCUGCACCAGAGCAGGUGUCAUUUCCAAGGGAUAAGCUGACUACAUUUUCUAAAAAGACAAGUAGGGAGCAGAGAGUUGUUCAUCAGGAAAAUCAAACUAACCAUCAUGGUAGACUGCAUUCUUACCAAGGGCAGUUAAAAGAUUAAAAAGGGAUUAGGUUUUCUUUCAGGAAAAGCAGGGAAGUAAUCACCAUAAAGAACUAUCUGUUGAUGGCUUUAUUUGCCAGAAUAGAUAAAAUUCCAUUUUUCUUGGCAUUUAAAAUAAAAAGAUCUUCCUUUUUGAAAAUCUGCCACCCAUUAUUAAAAGAUUAGAAGCCCCACUCCAACAUUUUCUAUAAGUAUGAGAGGAGGUGAACAGAUAAAAAGACAGCAAAAAAAAAAAUCAAUCAAGACAAAAACUGUCAAAGUCACAAUUGACAAACUGAAAAAGAUCCAUUGAUCUCAAAAGCCUUCAAACACUGAAGCAACCAAAGCUCAUUGAACCACAAGAAACAAGUUAGCUAGAAUUCAAAAUCUCCGAUUUCAGUUCAGUUCAGAGAAACAGUUAUACAAAGCGAGAUUUCUCUCGUUACAAAUUUGGUUAAGCAUAAGCCAAAUCAAGCAGAGUCCGGGUUUUUACAAAUAUGAAAACCUCAAAAAAAUUGUGGAAAGCCCUGAUCAAGCAGAACAAGUAAUGUAACAACCCGAUCCGAAAUUAAUUUUUAAUUAUUAAUUUAUUAUGGAAAAAGACUAUUUUCCCCCUAGAAUAUUUUAUUAAGUCUAAAGUUGACUUUUGACCGGGAAGGAAUUUGGAAAUUUCGAUUGUACUGUUGUGUAAAUCACGUUGAAACGAGUCCGUAGACACAUAGUGAGCUCAAAUUCGAGUUGUAACAAGGAAAAUACAAUCAAAAUUCAAGUAGGGGCAAAAACAUAAUUUUUGAAAACUGGAUUUUAAAAUCAGAAAUCUCUCUUCUCUCUCCUUCGUGCAUCUUCUUCUCUCUCUCUCUCCCCGACAUUUUCUCCCUCUCUCUCUUUGAAACUUCGGCCACCGUCCACGGCCAGCCAUGAGACCGGUGCCAAAACAACCGGCCUGGUCCCCCCAUCGAACCCCAACCUCCCUCCGUCACUAGCCAUUGUCUCAGCCACCGGAAAACCAUGAAAACAUGCCGGUUUUCGCACGAAAUUUCAAUCGGUCAUUCUCCGUCCUCCGGCCACCAUUUUCAGUGAUCAAGGUAUGAAAUCUCAUCUACUCUUCGAGCUCUAGCUGCCUGUGGGGUAGGAAUUGGUUGAUUUGGCAUGUAGGAAAACGAUUUUGGAACUUGGUUUUGGGCCGAUUUCGGGUUGAAAUUCUGGCUACUUUCGGCCAUUUUUCGGGGUAGGUCUAAGAACAAAAGUGGCUUCAAUCGAUGUCCUGAACCUAGGGUAGGAGCCUUGGCCCGUAAUUUUGAGAUUUUCCGGUGAGUGUUAUUGCUUUGGGCACCCACGCGCUGCCGGCACGUGCGGCGGUGCGUGGGCAAAGCGGUGACGCCCCAUUUCAUCCUGAUGUGAUCCUUGUGUUGUCACGAGUGCGUAGGUGUGCUCGGAUUCCAAUUCGGAUGUCGUUUGAGUCUCUAACGGAUUUCGCCUAUUGCGCAUUAUCCGGGUUCGAUGGGUUCAAACUGUUGGAUCGACUUGAAUUUAAUAUAUGUUGAUCUAGGUAUUCCUAGGAUCGUAUAGGAUUUCGCGGAUCAUGAAUCAGAGUCCCGGAUCAAUAAUUCAAAGUUUAAUUAAAUUAUAACCGUCUGAUCGCAUGAUUGUGAUCAAUCUGACUGUCCAAUUCGGACCAAACUUGCAGAACAUCGUUAUUAAAAUAUGUGGAACCUAUAGGAACUCUCGGAUCGAUAAAUGAAGGUCGUGAACUCCACGGGGUCUCGGGUUGACCAAUAUGGAAGUUUAUCACUUAGUGAGUCUCGGGUCUUUUUAGACAAUUCUAACUGUCCGAAAUGUUUAAGUGGGCAUAGGAAUAAUCUUAAAUUGGGUACACGCACUUUUAGAAGCCAGGUAUCAGGGUUUUGGAAUUAAAUGAUUAUGUUGAGUAUUUAUAUUAAUUAAAUAUUUAUUAUGGCAUAAAUAGGUACUCAGGCACCAGUUGACCCGCAGAAGGGACCUUCGAAAGGUCCAGCUAGCUCGGACGCUCAGUGAGCGGACUUUUGUUUUCUAAAUGAUUUUAUGCAAAUGAAUUUCAUUGUUUGAUCUUGAAUAAGUUAUUAUUUGUUUAUGGCUUUCCAAGCAUGAUUGGUUGAUUGUGAAUAUUUUUGUUAUUUUUUGUUUAUAUGUAAGUUGAGCAUGACUUGGAAAGUAGGAAAUGAGGUGAUUACUAGAUUGAUUGAUUUGAUGGGAAGUAAAAUUAUAGUUUCCAAGAAUGGCAACAAGAUUCAAGAAUAGAAUGAAGAAUAGUUUUAUAAUCAUUUUUAUAAUCUUUAAUCUUUUUUUUUUUUGAGAAUAUAUUUAUUUUAAAAACCACCUUAUGUACCCAAGGUUGCCUCGGAAUAAAAGUUGCCUCUGAAUAAAUAUUGCCUUCGGAAUAAAAUUGUUGCCUUCGAUAUAGUCAGCGCGCUUGACAUUUGCCUCAUGAGCUUCAGGGAUGCCCGGACCGUGGGAGUGAGGAAUGCGGAUCAGGUUGACUAAAGGUCUCCCAAAUCUUGCUAGGGUUGCGGCUCGGGUUGACCUUGUAUUACCGAGACCUGCUAGGACGUGUCACGAGGAAUUAAUGGAAAAUAAAGGAAUUGACGGAUAUAAAUCCAUACACCUAGGUGGGAGGAAAUUAUUAUUUUUCAAUGGUUUCAAUUGUUUUCAUGAUUUGAUUGGAUGCAUGAUCGAUAAUAUAUAUAUAUAUAUAAAUACGCAUGUUGAUUUCAGUACGAAUAUAGAACAUUGAGAUAAUAGAGUUUUCUAACUGUUUUUACGGAGGGCUUAGUAUGUUCGUAUGCUAUUUUCUAAACUUUUAUUUUUUCUCCACUCACAUGUUUUUCAAUGUUUUGCGCCCCCAAGUAAUAGUCGUGUACCAGAGUGUCACCAUAGGGCUGUCACUUCUUCUCAUCCAUCUAUUUUGCUACGUAGGAUCUCUUUGUUAUCAUAUUAUCCCUUUGUAAAUUCUAAACUAGCAGCUCUGAUAUUGCCCUAGGUUUUCUGUAUGGCCUAAGGCCGUUUAGUUUAGUUGAAUUAUUUAGAUGUAAAUUGAAAGCAUGCUGGUAGUUGGGUUAUUUAUUUAUUUAUGCUUUUGACAGGUUGAAAUGUUGGGAAAUGAUCAAAUUACAGGAGAGGUUCUGUCGAAUUUUCAGUAGAGGUCGAACUUGUAAUAAACCUGAAUUUAAACUAGAAGGGCAAUUUAGUCAUUGUGCCCGGCGCCCGCCAAGUGUUAGACACGCACAGGGUUCAGCUCGGAUUCCAAAGUGAAAUUUAGGUCGGGUCCUUUCAGGUACUACAGUGUAGUUCCAGCUCAGUAAUCAUCAAAUCCAGCCACUUCUACCCCUUCCAGACUGAAGAGACUCCAAUUCUGCCUAUUCAAAAAGCCUUCCAGGGCUUGAAAUAGCCAAACUCGAUCGUUGGUAUCGAUUUAUAGCUGAAACUUGACAGUUGAAGGUGUUGAUGGUCCAAUCCAGCACAGAUAUACCCAGUCCAGUCUAGAUCAAAAGCAGCUAUCCAGGCCGAAAUUGAAGUCCAAUGCUUUUUUUCUUUUUUUUUUCAGAGUUGGUCUUUCCUUUUCUGAGCUUUGUAAAAGGAAAUUUUGCCUAAAACAGUUCACUUGUUUAUCAUUUAUUCUGGCCAGAACUACCAGUUUUUGUACUAUGAAAAAUUAUGAAGUUCUCACCUGUCUGAGGCAAGAAAAGAACUUCCUUGGGAAAUAUUCCUCACCCAAAUUCACAAUCGUUUGUUUAGAAAUCAAUAACUUGGGGCGCAUGUUAUCUAUUUUUAAGAAGUCUGCUAGGGUUUUCAUUGCUAGCAGUGGCACGCUCAUGCACAAAAGAAAGUUGACUAGUUGACCACCAAUGGUUUUCAAGCCAAUGGGGAACCUUCCCCUACCAUCACAGGAUCAGAAUCAAAAUAGGUGAACACCUUCCUUGGUGCAGAGCUUCCCUGUAUGUAAUAAAAGAGAUUUGAUCUUCUUUCUUUGGCUGCAAAAAUGGAGAAGUCUUCCAGUAAGACCUGCCUUCAUUAACUCCCUAUUAACUCCUCUGUGAUAAUUGAAAAUUUUGACUUUUCAAAGUCAGGAAGUCGCGUGGGCCUUUUUGAGAAAACAUUUUUUUGUGAGAAAAAGAUCUGCUGACUUGCUUUUUUUGGAGUUGAGAUCAAGUGGUGAGAAUUUUUCAGAAGAGCCUUAGGUAGGCACCACACCGGUGUCCGAAGCUUGACGAUUGCUUCUUCCACUUUGUCGUCUGCAGGUUCUUUCCUUUCCGAAUAUCCUCACCUUCCCCCUUGCUAAAGACACACCAUAUUACUCUAAGUUGACCCUCUCCGAAGAAGAGCCUCAACACCUAUAGUUGCACAUUUAGACUUCAGUGGCAUAUCCUGUGCUGUAAAUUCUACCUCUGUUUGUUCGUGGCAGCUUCUUCUCCUAGAGUGGCACUUUCUACAUUGGCGAAGGAUGUGAAUAUUGAUCUUUCAUAAAAAACAAUUUGACAGAAAACAAGAAAUAGACAAAUACAUAGAAUUGAAAAAACAAAUAAAUAUUCAAACAAAAAAAAUAAAGUAAUUUUAUUUUAUUUGUUUUUUAUUAACAGAAGGAAGGAUGCAAACUAAGAACCUCUCUUAAGUUGAAAUUAGUGUCGGCCCUGAACAGGGGCAGUCAGUGCAACUACUCUGGGUCCACUGUCCAGGGGGUCCAAAUUUUUUUAAAUUUUAAUUUUAUAAAGAGGUAUAUUAUAUUUAUUAUAUAUUCUUUUAAUAUUUAAAAAAAAAAAAAGUAACAUGGGCUAUUUUUUAACUCUUUUAAGCUCUAAUUGAUUGCAAAUUUGGAAGUUUUAAGUUUGUUGUUGUGGAGGGGGAUUUCUCAAAUUCCAAGUUAUGUUGUUCUUUAUUUAUUAUUUGAAGUAUUAAAAUUUCAUUGGAUUUCCUUGUACUGUUUCUGAUUUCAAGUAGCAAUGAUUCCUUAAAAAACAAGAAUUUGAAAGUCAAAAAAGAAAAAGAAAUGAUUGAAUUGUUAAUUACAAAUAUUUAUCUUGUUUCGGCAUUAGAUUUGAAUGUAUGAAGUGUAACCUCUUAUUUUAGAUUUUUAUAUAUUGAUGUUUGAAUUUAUAUAAUUUAUAUAUUUAUCUUAAAUGUUAAAUUUUUAGUUAAUUCGAAUAAGUUAAAUCUUGAUUGAAAAAUGAGAUUGAGUCUGGCAAGGCAAAGGCAUUGUUUUCGGCUGGAUUGGCUCCACAUUGGUUAUGGCCUACAAUUGGGUUGAAUAGAGAGGAAAUUUAGUUUUUUUGCAGGAGGUGCGUGAUACUCUUUUUUCUUGACCGGAUUUUCCUCCACAGGGGUUUUCAUGGCAAGGUUUUAACAAGGCUACCCGAGAUGCAUCUCCUUUCUCCAUAUUUUUUGGGGUCCUUUUGUAUCUCAUAUUGAGUGUUACUUAAAGUAAUAAAGAUUUUUCAUUUGAUAAAAAAAUAAAAUAAAAUAAAAUUCAACUCAUAUAAAUGUUGAUAAUUAUAUUCAUGAUUAGUUCGAUAUCCAAUUAUAGCUAGCCGAUGAAAUUAAAGUAUUGUGUAAAUAUGUUGUCGUUUGUGAAAAAGAAAUACAAAAUAAUCACGUUAAGCCUUGAACAUAUCCGUCACAAUAAUCAAUUUUGUCGGAAUGGAGAUAGACCUAGUAGAUGGACAUAUUGGUAUCCUUAAUUUAAGAAGAAAAAAAAUGUAAUAGUAGAUAAAUUGAUAUAUAUGGAGCCAAAGUAAUUGAAGGUAGUUUUGCAGCCAAAUUAAUUUAGCCAAACGACGACUUCCAAAUUUCAUGAUGCUGGUCUGUGGAAAAUUGAGACUCAUUAAAGAUUACUUGAAUGUCUUGGAGUCUGCAAAGAUAGAAGACCAAAAAGACUUGAAUCUGCACCACUUGUCUUUGAGGAAGAAAAGUCCAAUAAGAAGGUUACAUACGUAUGCAAGAUAACCAAUAAAAUGUCACAUGGGAUAUGUAUAAAUUUUGAUUUAUUUUUAUUUUUUAUACAAAUGAUAUUAGUGGCAAUUUUUUUCUUCACGUCCUGUGGAAAAGAAAAUGUAUAUCCCUGAGUGUUGAAAAUUCUAGCUCUGCUUGUUCGUGGCAAUUUAAGGGGAUCUAAUAAAACACAUUUCAAUGGCCUUAUAGUUCAGUACAGUUGCACAUUUAGACUUUAGUGGCAUAUCCUGCGCUGUAAAUUCUACCUCUAUUUGUUCGUGGCAGCUUCUUCAUGGGUUGUCCUCGGCCAACUACUAAAACGAAGGACAUAUAUCUUCAUAGAAAAAAUUAAUUUGGGAGUUUUGAAGUAAUAACUUGGUUUUUUUUGUUUUGGGUAAAUUACUCAAAUGGUCCUCAAACUUGUACUCGAUUUAUAUUUUAGUCCCUCAAUUAAAUUAUUAGUCCAAAUGGUACAUAAAUUCUACUUUAAUCUCCCAUUUGAUCCAACCUUUAAUUUUCCGUUAGAUUUAACCAAAUUUUAGGGUAAAUAUGACUUUUCAUAAUUAACAAAUAAAAUAGGGUUAAAACAAAUAAAAAAUUAUCAAAUAAUUGAAGAAAAAGAGAAAGAAAAAAAGAAGAAGAAAAAGAUCCAACCCACCCCUGCCCCCCUUCGAUUUCUUCUCCCCCAUUCCCACAGACCUCUCCAUAUGGGCAUAAAUCCCCAAAAUCCUCGCAGCAAUUUUGGUGUCUUGGAGGGUGAGAAAUUGACAGUGGCUGUGAUUUUGGGAGGUGGGGUUGGCGGGUGAUGAGGUGGGGAGGAGGGUGGUGGGUGGUUGUCUCUCAACAACAAAGGGAAAUCAAGGGGGAGGGGAAGAGGGUCUGGUUCGUUGUUGAAUUGGGGUUUUGGGUUCGUUGGGAGGGGUCUGUGGAAGAUUUUUAUUUUUAUUUUUCUCUGUAGUUGCUGGCUCGGUUGGAAGGUGGGGAGGAGUUGGGGUUCUGGGUUCCUGGGGCCUGGGGUGGAGCGUGGUUGUUGGAUGGGUUUAGGUGGAGAGUGGUUGGGGGUUGGAGCUUGAGGGUGGUGGCCAUGGGGGAAUGGAGAGAGAGACAGAGAGACAGAGAUACAGAGAGAAGGAACACAAUCUUCAAAACCUUCCCUUGUGGAACACAAUCGGCUUUAUUUCAACACUGGUACUGCACGUGGGAGUUUCAGAGCCUUUAUAUUACUGGAUGCAUAGACGUUUCCAUGGCAACUACUUUUUUGAAAACUAUCAUUCACUUCACCGUUCCUCUCCUCUCCAAUACCACUGCCCUUUACAGGUAAGAUCAAAUAUAUGAGCACAGACUUACAAAUUCUUUUUUUUUUCCCCUCUUUAGUUAUUUUGACUGAUUAAUUUAUCAAUUAUUUUUGUUAAUAUUUUUGUUCAGCUGGAAGUGCAACACUUCUGGAGCAUCUGGUUUUAAGUGCAAUUGUUGGAAUUCCAGUUCUUGGUACCACCCUGAUGGGUUGUGGAGAGAGAGAGAGAGAGAGAGAGAGAGAGAGAGAGAGAGAGAGAGAGAGAGAGAGAUUUUAUUUCAUUUUUCAAUAUUUAUUUAUUUUUAACACACGAAAUGACCAAUUUAUCCUCAUAUUUAACAGCAACAUUGACAGAAUGUAAUGGUAGGACCAAUAGAGCGAUUAAUAUGUAGUUAAUGUACCAUUUAGACUAAUAAUUUAAUUGAGGGACCAAAAUGUAAAUCGAGUACAAAUUUAAGGACCAUUUAAGUAAUUUACCAUUUUGUUUAUCUAUAUAUAUAAAGCAAAAGGCAGAGAAUGGUGAAACAUUCAAAAUACCAGAAAAUGCCCUUGGUUAAUGCAAAUAUUAAGAAUUCAAAUUAUUAAUUAAAUGAGGAUAAUAUAGUAAAUUCAUACUUUUUCAUAUUUAAAAAAAUUAAAAGAAAAAGAAAAAACAGAUAAUGUAUCCUUUUUUUAUGGAACACAACUACCCAUUAUCUUUUUUAAUUCUAAAAUAAAUUUACUUAUUUUUUUUAAAAAACCUCUCGCAAGCGCGAAAGCGCCUGCAGAGAGGCUAGUUAACAGAAAGAAGGAUGCAAAUUCGGAAACCUCUUUAGUUGAAAUAUACUUUUGGAAUGUGGAAGUAUAAGACAUUUAAGUGAUUUAUUUAGUUCUUUUGAUCUGAGUUAGGGCACUUAAUUAAGAUUAAGUAGUUUUUUUUUGGUUUAAAUAGUAUUUGGCUGAACUUAAUUGGGAACCAAGACCUUUAUAGACUCUACCCUCAUAGUCAGACGUGAGCGGAGUUUGGACAGGCUUUCGUCUAAAAAAUGAUUAGGAUAAAUGUUCAAAUGGUUAUUUAUAUGACUUAGUUUUUUAGAGAUCACUUUUGAAGUUUUAUAUCAUUGAAUUAAUGAUGAGUGGGCCACACAAUGAAUCCCUCAACUAUAUAUUUAAAGAAUCCAUCAACUGAAUCCUAUUAAAUGUAAAUAUUGCGUGAUAAACAUGUUAUAUAUACAGUAAAAAUUAUGUAACUAGAUAAAAAAUUUACGUUUGUUAACUACAAAUCUAUGCCAAAAACAAACUCAGCGAAAAAUCAACUUGAUAAGUUCAUAAGACUAGUUGUCUUGUCACUUGUCAUCGCAGCAGCCAUAGUCCUGCAAAAGAACAAAAAGUUAGGCCCGCACUAAGCCUAUAUAACUAUAAAGCCCAAGCUCAUCAAAUUCGAAGCACAGAAAACUAAGACAUUCCGAUGAUGAAGACCCUAGUAGCAGUCCUCAGCCUCAGCUUAACCCUCCUUUCAUUCGGAGGUAAACAAGCUUCUUAUUUUCUUUAAGUUUUUCAUUUUGGGCAAACGAUAGAAAUACUCAUUGAUCUUUUCUUAAAGUCGAAGCUUCUUAUUUUCUUUAAUUUUAAUUUAAUAUUUGUUCACAAUAAGUGUGGUUUGUGAUUACUGCAUCAAAUUAAGUGUGUUUUACUUUGCAUGGCAGGUGCACAUGCAGCGACAAUGUCUUUCAAAAACAAUUGCCCCUACACGGUCUGGCCAGCCUCCUUUGGAAAUCCUCAAUUAUCAACCACAGGGUUCGAGUUAGCAUCCCAAGCUAGCUUCCAGCUAGACACUCCGGUGCCAUGGAGCGGCCGCUUCUGGGCCCGAACUAGAUGCUCCACGGACGCCUCAGGAAAGUUCGUCUGCGAAACCGCAGACUGUGACUCUGGUCAGCUCAUGUGCAACGGUAAGACUGGCAUUCCGCCGGCAACUUUAGCGGAAUUCACUAUUGCAGCAGGCGGAGGACAAGAUUUCUACGAUGUUAGUCUUGUUGAUGGCUUCAACUUGCCCAUGUCUGUGACUCCACAAGGCGGUACUGGCACCUGCAAGAUGGGUAGUUGCGCGGCGAACGUGAACCUAGUUUGUCCGAGUGAGCUGCAAAAGAUAGGGUCCGAUGGGAGCGUGGUUGCCUGCUUGAGCGCAUGUGUUAAAUUCGGUGAGCCACAGUACUGUUGCACUCCGCCUCAAGAAACUAAAGAGAAAUGCCCACCGACAAAUUACUCUCAGAUAUUCCAUGAACAAUGCCCCGACGCUUACAGCUAUGCUUUUGAUGACAACAAAGGUUUAUUUACGUGCAGUGGUGGACCUAACUACCUCAUUACUUUCUGCCCAUGAUGAGCAUACAUAUAUACAUGAACUAUAGAAAGGACAAGAUCUUUAAUAA
rnacentral:lncRNA from 1 species